GAGAGAGGGAGACACAGAAUCUGAAACAGGCUCCGGGCUCUGAGCUGUCAGCACAGGGGCCCGAUGCGGGGCUCGAACUCACAGACCGCGAGAUCGUGACCUGAGCCGAAGUCGGCGCUCAACCGACUGAGCCACCCAGGCGCCCCGCUCUGUUUCUCUUUAAAUAAACAUUAAAAAGAAUUUAAAGAACCCUCCUGACAGCGCAAGACCAUUUGCAGUGUGCACUCUUGCAAAAGUACGUUCACCUAGUCUGAUCAAGAAAGAAACAUCAAAUACCCCCCACUGAGGGACAUUCAAGGACACAUCUGACCAGUAAUCCUCCCAAUUGUGAAGGUCAUCAGAAACAAGGAAAGCUUGAGAACCUGUCAUAGCCAAAAGAAGCAUAAGUGGACGUGGAUACGAAAUGCAGUGUGGUUAUCUUGGGUGGGAUCCUGGUACAGAAGAAAGACACUGGGGAACAACUGAGAAAAGAAUGUAUCCAUAUUGGUUCAUUGGCUGUGACAAAUGUACCAUACUUACGUAAUAGGAUAACAAUAGGGAAACCUGGGUGUGGUGUAGAUGGGAAUUCUCUAUAAUAUUACUGUGCUAGUUACAAUAGUUCUGUAAAUCUAAAACUGCUCUAAGAUAAACAGAGUUUAUUAAAGCAGGGCAGGGAGCGGGUGGAGGGGGGUGGGGGUGCUUCCUGGCUGUUAUAAUGCAAACCAUUCCUGAUGGCAGAGUUGUUGUCUCUGAAAAGCACCAAGGAAAAAGAAAUAAUUUUUAGUUGAAUGAAUCCCUGUUCUUAAUAAAUUACGUGACAGAUCUUUGCUUCCUUUUAUUUAUAGUUUUGUGACUUUCAAAUGAUUUUUAGAGCUGCACUUUAAAUAUAUAUGUAUAUACAUAUAUAAAAAUAAACACACACACAACAGCAUAUUUACAGCUAAAAGACAAGGUAACUGGUUCCUCUUACUUUAUUAUACUGGAGCCAUGCAAUGGGAAUACAAUCCUAGAUAAGAAAGUCACCUGUUGUAAUGACUUACAAUUCUUAAUGGAAAAUUUUCGACAUUUUGGAUAUAGUUACCUGGACACCAUUUCAAUGGUUCUCUCUCCCUCUUCCUGGUUUUUUUUUUUGUUGUUUGUUUGUUUUGUUUUGUUUUUUGUUUUUUCUGUUCUAACAGAAUCUGCUCAAGGUGGUCUGGAUAAAGCAGAGUGCCCCAGGCAAUAUUUUGCUGCUGGUUUGUAGUUAUGGAUUACCUUAUAUCAUUGGCUUCAAGAGUGAACUGACUGGGGCACCUGGGCGGCUCACCUCGGGUUAUGAUCUCAUGGUUCCUGAGAUGGGACCCCCGUGUUGGGAUCUGUGCUGACAGGUCGUGAUCUUAUGGGUCAUGGGUUCGAACCCCGUGCUUGGCUCUGUGCUGACAGUGUAGAGCCUGCUUGGGAUCCUCUCUCUCCCUUUGCCUCUGUCCCCUCCUGCUCACACUGCGCUCUCUCUCUCUCUCUCUGGGUCUCUUUAAAUAAAUUGAUUAACAUUAAAAAAAGAACCUUAUCAAAAUCCCCAUAUUCACUUGAGUUUUCUGUGGGCUCACAGUGUGUGUGUAUGUGUGUGUGUGCAGGUGCGUGCUGGGGGAACAACCUGACUGACCACUCUCUGGUUAGGUAAGUAUAUUAACUUUAAUUACCUAAUAUUGAUGUUAUUUCCCUAACUUGCCUUUAGGUCUUCUCAGCCUUUAUUAUCAACUCUUCAUGGUCCCGACUGUAGCACCUGGCAAGGUGCUUUCACACCUGGAAAUGAAACCAUAAUAAUUCAAGGGCAACCUAAACGCCCCAUAUGCAGGCACCAUUUAUCUUUCGGUGUCAGGUUUGGACCAUUUAUCUUUUCUUAUCAAGUGGCUUAACUAUACAUUUGGGGAAGUUAAGUGAGGAAAUGAGAAGCACUCUUCGAGACUGGCAGUGGUCUAAAUAAUAGCUUUAAAGUGAAAGUUCAGCCACCUGGUUCAUCUUCCAACCGGGCAGGGGCUCCUAGGGAAUAAGAGGGCAAAGUUAAAUGUGAAACUCAAAAUCUGAGGCAAAGGACUCUCAUCACCUGGACUUUCCUUCUCCCUAAAUGGGGCAGCAGUACUGGAAAUAGUGGUAAUUAAACUUUAGAGAGCUUUUCUGGGGUGCUAGGCACCAUUGUAAUGAACUCAUUUCAUCCUCACAGAGGCACAGGGAAGGGAACCACGUUGCCAACAUUCACACAGCUGGGAGUAAAGCCAGGAUUCUAAUCUGGGUGAUCUGGCAUCAAAGCCCAUGUUCUCAACAGGCUCUCCUGCCUCUCUUGGGGAGGACACCACGAGGGGUCCCACUCUUGACUAGACUCGCUAGAGGGCCUCCUCCAGGAUCUGGACUGGAACAUCCCAGGGACCUCCACAACCGCCUAAGGCCUAGGAAAGAGAAUGUCUCAUCAGUGAGCUGUAUACUUCUGUCCAUUCUGGUUCCUCCACAACUGUCACCGUCACCACCAGCAACUAGUAAAUAUUGAUCGAGCUUCUCUUCUAUGCCAGGUACUAUGGAUACCAAAAUGAAAAGGAGACUGUGAUCCUGCCCUCAAUAGACACCUAAGCAAACAAGCCAACAAGAUCGCAAACAGCCUCUGGUAACGUCCAAAAGAAAGCCGUGGGAGUCCAGAUGGGCGGGGUCCCACCUUGCCUGGAUUCGCAGUGCCAUGAUUUCCUUCCUCUCUCACUGAGUUUCUGUUACUUCCUUGACUUCUUCUACUUACAACUCACAAGCCCAAAUGGCACAGAUUUGAAGUUCUCUCUACCAGGUGUUGAGCUGUUCAGGAGGAAGAUGUUCUGUUCAUUUAAUAAAUAGCUUCUGGAUGAAUAGAGGCUCCGACUCAGCAUAUGUUUAUCUGCUCACCGCCCCCCCGUCCCAGGAAACAGAGAACAUUUAUAUCUGAGUUCCUCCUUAUCCGAGGUUCGCUUUCCAGGGUUUCAGGUGCCUGCAGUCAACUGUGGUCUGGAAACAGAUGAUCCUCCUGACGUAUGAUCAGAAGGUCUCUACUAGUCAAUACGACGUCACAGUGCCCACGUCAUUCACCUCAUCUCAUCUCAUCAUACAGGCAUUUUAUCAUCUCACAUCAUCAGUGAGGAAGAAGGGAGAAACAGAGAGACAGAGAGAGAGACAGGGCACCAGUAGGGGAGGGACAGAGAGAGAAGGAGACACAGAAUCCGAAGCAGGCUCCAGGCUCUGAGCUGUCAGCACAGAGCCCGACGCAGGACCUGAACUCAUGAACCUCGAGAUCAUGACCUGAGCUGAAGUCGGAGCCGAACGUGCCACCCAGGUGCCUCUGUCGGUGUUUGUUGUUAAUCUCUUCUGGUGCCUAAUUUAUAAAUUAAACUUUGUCAUAGGUAUGUGUAUAGAGGAAAAACAUCAUUAUGUGUGGGCUUCAGUCCUCUCAGUGGUUUCAGGCAUCCACUAGGGGAUCUUGGAAUGGAUCCUCAGUGGACAAGGGGGACGACUGUACUCUCCCUUCUUCCAGGACAGGCACCUUUUCUGUUCCACGUGCAAGCUAUGCUAGCAGCCUGGCCCACUCUUUGUAUCCCUAUCUACCACAAUAACAAACAGUGUUGCUGAGGCAUUGUUGUUGAUGUGUUGCCUUUAAAAAACACCCUCUUGUCAUGGGAUAAGCCUCUUCCUGACGAUGGACCAUCCUUAUCUGGCCUGCCAAGCAGCCCUGUUGCCAUGGAGGGCCGAUGGGAUGAGGUGUGUUUUUCGCCUGCAUCACUCCCACCGGGGUGUAACAAGGACUUUAGUGCACGUCAUGCGUGGCUGGCCUGUGGCAGCCCGAGGCCAGGCUCUUCCUGUAGGUAAAACCCAAUCAACUGAUCAGCUGCAGAUAAUAUCAAGACCUCUGUUUGAUACGUUAACAGUGACAGACAUGCUUCCACAAUUCACAGCCCAGUACCCUUUGGCAACAGAGUCGUUGUGGGUGAAGAAAACACUCUAGUCACCAGCUUUGGGAUGAGAGGGCUCGGGUUCAUAUAAACACAACCUCACGUCAACCCUCGUCACCACAGACUGUUUUGGGUCUUUGCACUCACCCUCUGAUCUUGAUUUCCUACAUGACAAUGUUCUCGGUUUAUAUGCCCUUUGGCAAGUGCAGCAAGCCUGUUUCCUGUUUCUAAACUUGUAGACAGCCAUUCAUGUGUCUCGCACUUGUCAAUUUUAACCAGAAAACACCGGCCCCUUCUUGUCGCAUUUUUACCUUUAGCCCAGGUUAAGAGGACCAUAGGAGUAAAGCUGUUGAUUCAUUCGAUAGAAAAUUCUUAAUUAAUUUAAAUUAACUUCCAUAGGACUUGCAAUUGCAAGAAGGAAGUAAGGGGAAAUACACGCCUCCUUUCCUAAAGCCUAAAAAAAUAAGUGGUGACAAGGCUAACGAUUUGAAAGCAUUGAAACAAUACACGAUUUAGUUUUUUUCUUCUGUUUGUCAAGAGUGAAGGAAAGAAGAAAUGGUCGAUGUACUUGUAACUGGCAGAUGACCACCAAAAUAAGAAAACUCUCAAUACAGCAAGUAGGUCAUUCGUCAGAAUCAACAGGACCCGUGCACGCUUUGUAGGUCCAACACAUUUUAAUUACCCUAACGAUUUGUGUAUACCCUUACAAUAAAGUUGAUUAACCUC